UACGUAGGGAGCAAGCGUUGUCCGGAAUCAUUGGGCGUAAAGCGCGCGUAGGUGGCCACAUAAGUCCGUUGUGAAAGUCAAAGGCUCAACCUUUGAAAGCCGAUGGAUACUGUGUGGCUAGAGUACGGAAGAGGCGAGUGGAAUUCCUGGUGUAGCGGUGGAAUGCGCAGAUAUCAGGAGGAACACCGGUGGCGAAGGCGGGAUCCUGGGCCAGUACUGACGCUGAGGAGCGAAAGCGUGGGGAUCAAACAGG
rnacentral:rRNA from 1 species